rnacentral:rRNA from 1 species
UACAGAAGUCCCGAGCGUUGUUCGGAUUUAUUGGGCGUAAAGGGUGCGUAGGUGGCAAAGUAAGUUGGAUGUGAAAUCCUGGGGCUCAACCUCAGAAUUGCAUUCAAUACUGCUUAGCUAGAGAGCUGUAGAGGAGACUGGAAUUUACGGUGUAGCAGUGAAAUGCGUAGAUAUCGUAAGGAACACCGGUGGCGAAGGCGCUCAUCUGGCCCAAUACUGACGCUGAAGCGCGAAAGCUAGGGGAGCAAACGGG